rnacentral:rRNA from 1 species
GACGAACGCUGGCGGCGUGCUUAACACAUGCAAGUCGAACGGCAAGGCCCUGCUUUCGUGGGGUGCUCGAGUGGCGAACGGGUGAGUAACACGUGAGUAACCUGCCCUUGACUUUGGGAUAACUUCAGGAAACUGGGGCUAAUACCGGAUAGGAGCUCCUGCUGCAUGGUGGGGGUUGGAAAGUCUCGGCGGUUGGGGAUGGACUCGCGGCUUAUCAGCUUGCUGGUGGGGUAGUGGCUUACCAAGGCUUUGACGGGUAGCCGGCCUGAGAGCGUGACCGGCGACAUUGGGACUGAGAUACGGCCCAGACUCCUACGGGAGGCAGCAGUGGGGAAUAUUGCACAAUGGGAGCAAGCCUGAGGCAGCAACGCCGCGUGCGGGAUGACGUCCUGCGGGUUGUAAACCGCUUUCGCCUGUGACGAAGCGUUAGUGACGGUAAUGGAUAAAGAAGCACCGGCUAACUACGUG